UCGCCAUAAUCCCCAAUGAUUUUAAACUUGGCUCAGAUACCACUAAAUGUCACCCCGCGGAUCCGGGCAUGAUUUUUCGCGCCUCAGAUCUGGUUCAUGACACGGCCGUGCUAUUGUAGGUUGUUGUCCACAAUAACACGAAGCCCAUGAUAACAAUUUUAUUUCAUGAAAUAAGACCAAAUCUGAUCAAAUUUAUUUACUAAUCACAAAGAAGCAAGUACAGAGCAUCUAAAUCAAAUACUUGAGUUUGCAAUAUUACAACCCAAACUUAUUAACAUAGAUACUUCUAAGAAUCUCUGCAACUAUGCUUCAACUCCAAUUUUCAUUUAC
rnacentral:lncRNA from 1 species